GACGAACGCUGGCGGCGUGCUUAACACAUGCAAGUCGAACGGAAAGGCCCUGCUUUUGUGGGGUGCCGGAGGGGCGAACGGGGGAGUAACACGUGAGUAACCUGCCCUUGACUUUGGGAUAACUUCAGGAAACUGGGGCUAAUACCGGAUAGGAGCCCCUCCUGCAUGGUGGGGGUGGGAAAGUUUCGGCGGUUGGGGAUGGACUCGCGGCUUAUCAGCUUGUUGGUGGGGUAGUGGCUUACCAAGGCUUUGACGGGUAGCCGGCCUGAGAGGGUGACCGGCCACAUUGGGACUGAGAUACGGCCCAGACUCCUACGGGAGGCAGCAGUGGGGAAUAUUGCACAAUGGGCGGAAGCCUGAUGCAGCAACGCCGCGUGCGGGAUGACGGCCUUCGGGUUGUAAACCGCUUUCGCCUGUGACGAAGCGUGAGUGACGGUAAUGGGUAAAGAAGCACCGGCUAACUACGUG
rnacentral:rRNA from 1 species